rnacentral:rRNA from 1 species
GAUUCUGGGCGUAAGCGCACGCAGGCGGUCUGUCAAGUCGGAUGUGAAAUCCCCGGGCUCACCCUGGGAACUGCAUUCGAAACUGGCAGGCUAGAGUCUUGUAGCCUGGGGUAGAAUUCCAGGUGUAGCGGUGAAAUGCGUAGAGAUCUGGAGGAAUACCGGUGGCGAAGGCGGCCCCCUGGACCAAGACUGACGCUCAGGUGCGAAAGCGUGGGGAGCAAACAGGAUUAGAUACCCUGGUAGUCCACGCCGUAAACGAUGUCGACUUGGAGGUUGUGCCCUUGAGGCGUGGCUUCCGGAGCUAACGCGUUAAGUCGACCGCCUGGGGAGUACGGCCGCAAGGUUAAAACUCAAAUGAAUUGACGGGGGCCCGCACAAGCGGUGGAGCAUGUGGUUUAAUUCGAUGCAACGCGAAGAACCUUACCUACUCUUGACAUCCAGAGAACUUUCCAGAGAUGGAUUGGUGCCUUCGGGAACUCUGAGACAGGUGCUGCAUGGCUGUCGUCAGCUCGUGUUGUGAAAUGUUGGGUUAAGUCCCGCAACGAGCGCAACCCUUAUCCUUUGUUGCCAGCGGUUAGGCCGGGAACUCAAAGGAGACUGCCAGUGAUAAACUGGAGGAAGGUGGGGAUGA